ACCUGGCUAGCUCAGUUGGUAGAGCAUGAGACUCUUAAUCUCAGGGUCGUGGGUGGGUUUUAGCCCCACGUUGGGCG